rnacentral:rRNA from 1 species
CGAGUGGCGAACGGGUGAGUAAUAUAUCGGAACGUGCCCUGUAGUGGGGGAUAACUAGUCGAAAGAUUAGCUAAUACCGCAUACGACCUGAGGGUGAAAGUGGGGGACCGCAAGGCCUCACGCUAUAGGAGCGGCCGAUAUCUGAUUAGCUAGUUGGUGGGGUAAAGGCCUACCAAGGCGACGAUCAGUAGCUGGUCUGAGAGGACGAUCAGCCACACUGGGACUGAGACACGGCCCAGACUCCUACGGGAGGCAGCAGUGGGGAAUUUUGGACAAUGGGCGAAAGCCUGAUCCAGCAAUGCCGCGUGUGUGAAGAAGGCCUUCGGGUUGUAAAGCACUUUUGUCCGGAAAGAAAUCCCUUGGGAUAAUACCUCGGGGGGAUGACGGUACCGGAAGAAUAAGGACCGGCUAACUACGUGCCAGCAGCCGCGGUAAUACGUAGGGUCCGAGCGUUAAUCGGAAUUACUGGGCGUAAAGCGUGCGCAGGCGGUUUUGUAAGACAGAUGUGAAAUCCCCGGGCUUAACCUGGGAAUUGCAUUUGUGACUGCAAGGCUAGAGUGUGUCAGAGGGGGGUAGAAUUCCACGUGUAGCAGUGAAAUGCGUAGAGAUGUGGAGGAAUACCGAUGGCGAAG